UAAAUUACCUGGCAGGGGUGAUACCAUGAUCAAGAAAGUGGUUCGCUCAAGGCGAGGCUCUGCCGUUUCGUUCAGUCUGUGCUAAACCUUGCAAAUUCCACGAUAAUGGGAAUCUCAGUUGCAUUAUUUCUGAUAGAGCGGGCCCGCGGUUGCACUCUCCCCUG